rnacentral:tRNA from 1 species
GGAGGGGUGGCCGAGUGGACGAAGGCGCCGGUCUCGAAAACCGGUAGGGUCCUUACGGACUCUCGUGGGUUCAAAUCCCACCCCCUCCG